UACAGAGGGGGCAAGCGUUGUUCGGAAUUACUGGGCGUAAAGGGCGCGUAGGCGGCCUGUUAAGUCGGACGUGAAAUCCCUCGGCUCAACCGGGGAACUGCGUCUGAUACUGGCGGGCUUGAAUUCGGGAGAGGGAUGUGGAAUUCCAGGUGUAGCGGUGAAAUGCGUAGAUAUCUGGAGGAACACCGGUGGCGAAGGCGGCAUCCUGGACCGACAUUGACGCUGAGGCGCGAAAGCCAGGGGAGCAAACAGG
rnacentral:rRNA from 1 species